GUCUUUUAGAAAUGAUUAAAAGUCUAAUCUGCCCUAUGAUAUAUAAUUAAAUGGCCGCGGUAAUUUGACCGUGCAAAGGUAGCAUAAUAAAUAGUCUUUUAAUUGGAGGCUUGUAUGAAUGAUUGAAUGAAAUAUUAACUAAAUUAAUAUUAACAAUUGAAAUUAAUCUUUAAGUAAAAAAGCUUAAAUAAAUAAGUGGGACGAGAAGACCCUAUAGAAUUUUAAAAAUUUUUUCAAUUUAAUUAUUUUAGUCAAUUAGUUUUUUUAAUUGAAUAAUUUUUUUUGUUGGGGUGAUAUUAAAAUAAAAUCAACUUUUAAUUUAAUUAUCAUGAAUAAAUGUUUAUAUUGAUCCAAACUUUUGAUCACAAGAAUAAAUUACCUUAGGGAUAACAGCAUAAUUUAUUUUAAGAGUUCUUAUCGACAAAUAAGAUUAUGACCUCGAUGUUGGAUUAAGAAAAGAUAUUGAAGCAAAAUUUUUUAUUUCUGGGUCUGUUCGACCCUUAAUAUUCUU
rnacentral:rRNA from 1 species